rnacentral:rRNA from 1 species
AGGGGGUAGAGCACUGACUGUCCUAGGGGCCCUUUGGGUUACCGAAGACUAUCAAACUCCGAAUACCUUGUUCUUUUUCCCGGGAGUCAGUCUAUGGGUGAUAAGGUCCAUGGACAAAAGGGUAACAGCCCAGACCAUCAGCUAAGGUCCCAAAGUGUGGAUUAAGUGGAAAAGGAUGUGGGAUUGCACAGACAACCAGGAUGUUGGCUUAGAAGCAGCCACUCAUUCAAAGAGUGCGUAAUAGCUCACUGGUCGAGUGAUCCUGCGCCGAAAUAUUACCGGGGCUAAAAUCCACCACCGAAGCUAUGGAUCCGUAAGGAUGGUAGGGGAGCGUUGUAUAAGGAGCGAAGCUGUACCGCAAGGAGCAGUGGACUUUAUACAAGUGAGAAUGUUGGCAUGAGUAGCGAGAGGCAGGUGAGAAUCCUGCCGGCCGAAAACCCAAGGUUUCCUGAGGAAGGUUCGUCCUCUCAGGGUUAGUCGGGGCCUAAGCUCAGGCCGAAAGGCGUAGGCGAUGGACAACAGGUUGAUAUUCCUGUACCACCAACCACCAUUUGAGUGAUGGGGUGACACAGUAGGAUAGGCCAUCCUUCAGUUGGUUUUGAAGGUCCAAGCGUUAAGGGAGUCGAAAUAGGCAAAUCCGUUUCGAUAAUUCUAAGGCGUGAUGGGGAGCGAAAUUUAAGUAGCGAAGUGGUUGAUUUCACACUGUCAGGAAAAGCCUCUAACGAGGUGGAAGGUGCCCGUACCGCAAACCGACACAGGUGGGUGAGGAGAGAAUCCUAAGGCUAGCGAGAGAACUAUUGUUAAGGAACUCGGCAAAAUUACCCCGUAACUUAGGGAGAAGGGGUGCCCCGUUAGUGUGAAAGCAUGAGGGGGCCGCAGAGAAUAGGCCCAAGCGACUGUUUACCAAAAACAUAGGUUUCUGCUAAGUCGCAAGACGAAGUAUAGGAGCUGACGCCUGCCCGGUGCUGGAAGGUUAAGGGGAUGUGUUAGAGCAAUCGAAGCAUUGAACUUAAGCCCCAGUAAACGGCGGCCGUAACUAUAACGGUCCUAAGGUAGCGAAAUUCCUUGUCGGGUAAGUUCCGACCCGCACGAAAGGCGUAACGAUUUGGGCGCUGUCUCAACAAUAGACUCGGUGAAAUUGUAAUUCCGGUGAAGAUGCCGGAUACCUGCGACAGGACGGAAAGACCCCGUGGAGCUUUACUGCAGUUUGGCAUUGGAUUUCGAUGCUGCAUGUACAGGAUAGGUGGGAGGCUUGGAAAGUGGAACGCAAGUUUCGCUGGAGCCGUCCUUGGGAUACCACCCUUGCAGUAUUGAGGUUCUAACCAUGUACCGUGAAACCGGUACUGGGACACUGUCUGACGGGCAGUUUGACUGGGGCGGUCGCCUCCUAAAGAGUAACGGAGGCGCCCAAAGGUUCCCUCAGCACGGUCGGAAAUCGUGCGAAGAGUGCAAAGGCAUAAGGGAGCUUGAUUGCGAGACAUACAGGUCGAGCAAGGACGAAAGUCGGGCUUAGUGAUCCGGUGGUUCCGAGUGGAAGGGCCAUCGCUCAACGGAUAAAAGCUACCCCGGGGAUAACAGGCUUAUCUCCCCCAAGAGUCCACAUCGACGGGGAGGUUUGGCACCUCGAUGUCGGCUCGUCUCAUCCUGGGGCUGG